UCACAUCUUAGUAUUGUGAACAUGUUUUGACUCUGAAGAUCCUUUGAAAAGGCAUCAUAUCAUAUCCUCUCUUCCUUCCCUCUUGGACCAGUAUGCUGAGUGGUCCCCAUCUUGCUCCUAAUUUAAAGUCCCUGUCGGUCAGUUUACCUGCCUUCUCUGAGUUCUGAUUCACCACCCACUGCUUCCUUCCUGGAUGAUCACAGCACACGUUCCCUCCCUUGCUACCUAGCACUCAGCAGCUUUGAAGUCCAUGUUGCUGUCUGAAAUAAUGGAUUUCACAGGUCCCUCCAACCUCCACUGCACUGAUCUUCAUCCCUGACACUGCUACCCUUGAGGGCCUGAGGUCCCCCUCUCCUUUACCCACUUAGCCUUCUGGUUGGUGACACUUUACUUCCCAAAGCUCUUUGAAGCGCCCUUAGCUCAUCUUCCCUCCAAAUAUUCACUCCUUAUUAUUUCCUGGCUGCUAAUCCUCUGCUUCCACUAUCCUGAAAAAUACUUCAUGAGCCCCACUGCUCUCACCACCAAGCAUUGUUUCUCUUGUCAUCCACUGCCAAACUUCCUGCCACCUCUGUGGCUCCACUGCCUGCUUCUGCAAACCUCAGCGUGCUCCCUGCUUUACUUUUCUCCUUGGACAUACUUGGUGCCUGUAUUCUCUAUCAGAAUAUAAGCUCUAUGAAAGCUGGGAUUUUAAAAUUUUACUUACUGCUGAAUCCUCAGCUCGUAGAUCAAUGUCUGGCAUAGUAGGCCCUCAAGUAUUUGUUGAAUGAGUGAAUGACUUGUUCCCCACUAAACUGUAAACUCCGUGAGGACAGGAGCUUUGUUUUGUUCAUGUUCUAGCCUCUGUGCCCACUACAGUGCCUAACACCUAGUAACUGUGCAAAUUUUUUUUUUUUUUUUUUUUUGAGAUG
rnacentral:lncRNA from 1 species